rnacentral:lncRNA from 13 species
GAUGACUCAAAUUCUACAUUGCUCCGAAAGCAAACUCAACAUUUCUGCUCUCUUGCCUCAUGGCAGGCAGAAGGACUCUCCAACUGUGCUUUGUGUUUUAAAUGCCUGGUGGCCAGAAGACAGAACUAAAGCUGCCUAAAAGGUAGGGGAAGCAACACUCAGGACUUGGAGUCAGAAGUACCUGGGUAGGACUUACUCUGUUACUUACCAGCUGUGUUCUGUUAAGCAAUUCUCUCUACCUCUCUGUGCCUUGGUUUUCUCAUAUGCAAAAUAAAGGAAAUACCUCCUAGCUCUCUGAGUUAUUA